AAGCAAGCCAGGAAGGAGGAGGCAGCCAGAAUGGCCACCACUGUUCUCUGCAGCAGACACCUUGCUGCCCUGCCCAACCCUGCUCAGCAUUUGCCAGGAGCUCAGGGAAUGGGAUAUACUCUUUCAUCCCUGCAACAGCCCUGAGAAAGUCUUUUAAAGAAGGCAUGGGUGAAGGUCACCAACCAGAUCUCCUGACCUUUCUUGCCAAUUUAUGAAUUCCGCCUCAAGACUUAAGUCAGAUCACAACUUCCUUCUGAAAUCUGUUGAGACAACUUUGAGAUCUUUCUGUGUAUCCUUCAUGGCAAGUACCAGCUGGAAAAAAAUCAUAGAAAAAGUGAAGGCAAAAAAUACAGCCCAAGUGGUUUCAAAUCACCAAACAACACUAGACAAGAGAAAAUGGGAAUGGUGUUAUAUUAAGUAAACAAAUGACACUCUAGACUUUUGUAUAGCUUGUCUAAUUGCUUAGUGACCUUGAUGGCUGGUAGCUAUUAGCUGCAAUACACAUCUUACCAACUUAGGUGGAGGGCUGAAGUAAACAGGCAGUUUUUGAACGCAGUCAGGAGGAGAAAGACCAAUAGGCUGCUGGCUGGGCAAGAAAGAGCUUUGGAGGACUCCAAGGGCAUGUUUUGAGAAAAAUUGAUGUUGCUUUAUAGACUAGCACUGUCCGGAUGAGGUGCCCGUCUGCUAUCGGUUUCCCAAUGGCUACUUUGAAAAUAAACAGAUAUGGAAACAGCAUUGAGCAGUAUCUUGGAAGAAAACUGAUCUGAUAGACUCAAAUGACAUGUGGCAGAUCUCUCUGAACAGAAGGAAAUGGGAGGUGGGUGGGUGAGUGCAUAUCCAAUUUUAAGAGCAAAAUGGACUUGAGAGAGGAGCCCUGUCCCUAACUAUUGCUCUGGGUCCCCACCACCACCACUCUGUUGCAACCCUAUCCCUGGUUCUUUUUCUAAGCCAGACUCAGUUCUGGUUGAAGGAUAGACUAUAGGGAAGUAAUCCAUAGCAAUAGCAAUAGCAAUAGCACUUACAUUUAUAUACCGCUCUAUAGCCGAAGCUCUCUAAGCGGUUUACAAUGAUUUAGCAUAUUGCCCCCAACAUUCUGGGUACUCAUUUUACCGACCUCGGAAGGAUGGAAGGCUGAGUCAACCUUGAGCCCCUGGUCAGGAUCGAACUUGUAACCUUCUGGUUACAGGGCAGCAGUUUUACCACUGCGCCACCAGGGGCACCAUAGGCAGGGGAAGGCUUACCACUAUCACCCAAGAACACCAGGAACACUUAAAAUUGGCUCCAUGUCUUCUUUCUGUGUGAUUGGGUUAGAUCUGGGUUUAUACACACACAUCUGUUGCCAUCACAUGUAGUCUUAGGCAUUGCUUUUAAGCUAUCAGUUGGAAGCAAAAUUAAACUGGAGAACUUAUUAUACUCCCCUGUUAACAGCUAUAUCUUUCCCUAUUGCCAAGAUCCUUCUAUAUGUCCUAAACAUUUUAAUGGUUUUUAGAUUGUGAACUGCCCAGGGACUUUUUUGUAUGAGUUGGUAUAGAAAUGUAAGAAAACUUGAAGAAAGAAACAGAGGGUUUAAUACACAAGAACAGGCACUAAGAACAAAUGCAAUAAGAGCAAAAGUUGAAAAAUCCACCACAAACAGCAAGUGCCGCCUUUGUAAAGAAGCAGAUGAAACCGUGGACCACCUAAUCAGCUGUUGUAAAAAGAUCGCACAGACUGACUACAAAUAAAGGCAUGACAAAGUAGCAGGGAUGAUACACUGGAACAUCUGCAAAAAAUGCAAGCUACCUGUAGCCAAACAUUGGUGGGACCAUAAAAUUGAAAAGGUUGAAGAAAAUGAAGAUGUAAAAAUAUUAUGGGACUUCCGACUACAAACAGACAAAAACCUGCCACACAAUACACCAGAUAUAACUGUAGUCGAGAAGAAAGAAAAACAAGUUAAAAUAACCGACAUAGCAAUACCAGGGGAUAGCAAAAUAGAAGAAAAAGAAAUAGAAAAAAUCACAAAAUUCAAAGAUCUACAAAUUGAAAUUGAAAGGCUGUGGCAGAAAAAGACCCAAAUAAUCCCAGUGGUAAUUGGCGCCCUGGGUGCAGUUCCAAAAGACCUUGAAGAGCACCUCAACACCACAGGGGCCACAGAAAUCACCAUCAGCCAAUUACAAAAAGCAGCUUUACUGGGAACAGCCUAUAUUCUGCGACGAUAUCUAUAACAACUGACAAUAAAAUUCAGCCAUCCCAGGUCCUUGGGAAGGACUUGAUGUCUGGAUAAAACAAACCAGUCAAUAACACCUGUCUGACUGUGUAAACAAGAAAUAAUAAUAAUAAUAAUAAUAAUAAUAAUAAUUCCAAAACAACUUGAAGAGCACCUUAACACCAUAGGGGCCACAGAAAUCACCACCAGCCAAUUACAAAAAGCAGCUUUACUGGGAACAGCCUAUAUUUUGCGACAAUAUCUAUAAUAACCAACAGUAUUGAUGAUAAAAUUCAGCCAUUCCAGGUCCUUGGGAAGGUCCCGAUGCCUGGAUUGACAAACCAGUCAAUAACACCUGUCUGACUGUGUAAACAAGAAAUAAUAAUAUGCUAUUAUUUAUUUAUUUAUUUAAUAAUAAAUAUUGUUUACUCACAAGUAAGUCCCACUCAGCCAAGGUCUCCAGUAACUUUUAGUUUUUACAAAUUUUCUCCUUGCAGUUUCUGCCCAUUUUAUUGCAUCCUGUUCACUGCAGUUGGAGAAUUGCCCCUUAGGGAACUGGCUUCCAUUCCCAAGGGUAAAUUCCCACUGAUAAAUUAAUGGAUUCCUUCAUUUUCUUUAUCCUCUAUCUUUUUUCAUUUUUUCUUUCAAGAAAAAGAAAAGGAAAACAUGCAGAUAAACCACUAAUUAAGGCUCUAUUCCUCCCUGGGGAACAAAAAAUUGACAAUUAAGGGGUAAUUCAUCAGUAAUCCCUCAACUGCUCUGAAUGGGAAGCUAUAAACCAGGCAGAACGUACAAGGAUGUAGCUCCCAAAUAAAAGCACAAUGGCUCUUAAAAGCCCCAAUAGUGCUUUAUUUGCCUAGGUUAGACAGAUUGGUUCUGCAAUUGUGUUUUAUUGCUAUGAAAUCCCCACAAAUCAGGUCUGAAAAAAACAUAGGACAACACAGAAAGCACUGGAAUGCAAUUAUUUGUCAUCUAGAUUUAGUGAAUGUCAGGGAUAAGCUGUGGGCAGCUGCUGCUAGGUGGCACAAGGCUAGAAGCCAGGACUGGGAGAAGCAGGCAAUCAGUUGGGGCUCAGGGAUCAAAUUGGUAGCCACAGGUCAGGAAAAUGCCCAAGGUCAAACGAAAUGGACAGUCAGGAGUCAGAGGACAAACCAGUAACCAAAGGUGAGGAACGUACCAGAGGUCAAGCUGAGCAGACAGCUGAGCAGACUUCAAUGGAGCAAGGAAGAAUAAAUGCAACAAAAGCAAGUAGUUAUUCUUCCUAUCUGUAGGGAAGCCAAUAACGGCCCUCACAGGGCACAGCCAGCACAGGAGUUGGAGAUUUGAAAGCUGCUGCAAUACAGCAAGUCACCACAAGGGGCAAUGUAGGCAGAGUCUCAGCCUUUGGGAAUUCUGUGAACAAAGGAUGGGACAGUGAACAAAGGAUGGGAAUUCUAGAAAAGGGGAAGCCUUGUGGAAGCAACCUAAGACUGUCCUGGAACGUCCUUCCUCUAAUAGAAGUAGAAAGCAAACUACAGUUCAAAUAUGCAUUCAAAUCCUCCAAAUUACCAACAUUGACCUCCAGUGUAUCAUUAAAACCGAAUCGUUUCAUUUAACAAAUAGAAGUUGUCUUGAUCUGUCCAUUAGUGUGCCAGGGAGUAGGUGGUUACUUUGAAGCAUGUAACUAAGGAGUAGGAAAAGGCAAUGGGAGGUAAACAGCUGUUACAUAUCCUGCAUGAUUUGUAAUUUAAUGGGAUAAAUUU